rnacentral:rRNA from 1 species
CUACGGGGGGCAGCAGUGGGGAAUAUUGCACAAUGGGCGCAAGCCUGAUGCAGCCAUGCCGCGUGUAUGAAGAAGGCCUUCGGGUUGUAAAGUACUUUCAGCGGGGAGGAAGGGAGUAAAGUUAAUACCUUUGCUCAUUGACGUUACCCGCGGAAGAAGCACCGGCUAACUCCGUGCCAGCGAGCCGCGGUAAUACGGAGGGUGCAAGCGUUAAUCGGAAUUACUGGGCGUAAAGCGCACGCAGGCGGUUUGUUAAGUCAGAUGUGAAAUCCCCGGGCUCAACCUGGGAACUGCAUCUGAUACUGGCAAGCUUGAGUCUCGUAGAGGGGGGUAGAAUUCCAGGUGUAGCGGUGAAAUGCGUAGAGAUCUGGAGGAAUACCGGUGGCGAAGGCGGCCCCCUGGACGAAGACUGACGCUCAGGUGCGAAAGCGUGGGGAGCAAACAGGAUUAGAUACCCCAGUAGUC